rnacentral:antisense_RNA from 1 species
UUUGAUCGAUCCCAGCCAGAGCGGGCGAUCCGCGGGGCGAUCCUGCCCGUACGUCGCCAGCAGGGCCUGGGCUUC